AACGUAGGUGGCGAGCGUUAUCCGGAUUUACUGGGCGUAAAGGGUGUGCAGGCGAGCUGUUAAGUGGUGUAUGAAAUAUCCCGGCUCAACCGGGAGAGGUUAUGCCAGACUGGCAGUCUAGAGAGCGAGAGAGGGACGUGGAAUUCCGGGUGUAGUGGUGAAAUGCGCAGAUAUCAGGAAGAACACCCGUGGCGAAGGCGGCUCUCUGGGACGGUACUGACGCUGAGACGCGAAAGCGUGGGGAGCGAACAGG
rnacentral:rRNA from 1 species